CAAGGCUUAAAUGGGAAAUGACAGGUUUAGAAAUAGACUUUUCUUCGGACAUUUUUCAAGGUGCUGCAUGGUUGUCGUCAGCUCGUGCCGUGAGGUGUUAGGUUAAGUCCUGCAACGAGCGCAACCCCUGUCACUAGUUGCCAUCAUUAAGUUGGGGACUCUAGUGAGACUGCCUACGCAAGUAGAGAGGAAGGUGGGGAUGACGUCAAAUCAUCACGGCCCUUACGCCUUGGGCCACACACGUAAUACAAUGGCCAGUACAGAGGGCAGCUACACAGCGAUGUGAUGCAAAUCUCGAAAGCUGGUCUCAGUUCGGAUUGGAGUCUGCAACUCGACUCUGUGAAGCUGGAAUCGCUAGUAAUCGCGCAUCAGCCAUGGCGCGGUGAAUACGUUCCC
rnacentral:rRNA from 1 species